GAUGAACGCUAGCGACAGGCUUAACACAUGCAAGUCGAGGGGCAGCAUAAAAGUAGCAAUACUUUGGUGGCGACCGGCGCACGGGUGAGUAACGCGUAUGCAACCUACCUAUCAGAGGGGAAUAACCCGGCGAAAGUCGGACUAAUACCGCAUAAAACAGGGGCACCGCAUGGUGAUAUUUGUUAAAGAAAUUCGCUGAUAGAUGGGCAUGCGUUCCAUUAGGUAGUUGGUGAGGUAACGGCUCACCAAGCCGACGAUGGAUAGGGGAACUGAGAGGUUGGUCCCCCACACUGGUACGGGGACACGGACCAGACUCCUUCGGGAGGCAGCAGUGAGGAAUAUUGGUCAAUGGGCGGGAGCCUGAACCAGCCAAGUCGCGUGAAGGAAGAAGGAUCUAUGGUUCGUAAACUUCUUUUGCAGGGGAAUAAAGUGCAGGACGUGUCCUGUUUUGUAUGUACCCUGAGAAUAAGGAUCGGCUAACUCCGUGCCAGCAGCCGCGGUAAAAC
rnacentral:rRNA from 1 species